CCUCCUUCCAAGUCGGCAGUCGGCGAUCUGAAUCAGCGGCACUCGAACCUCAAAGGCAAUGGCGGAAAUGGGGAACGCCUGACCACGACCGGUGCCUAUUUUAAUCCUGCCAAAAUUUUGCUGUGUCCCCCUGCUGGUGCCUAUAAACGCCCACGCCUCUUCCCUCCCUCACCGUUCAUCACACGUCGACCUCACCUGAUCUAGGGUUUAGCGGAGUGACCACGCGGCGGAGCGAGCGCGCGGAUCCAUCCAGAUAUGCAUUUGGGGGGCAGCAAGCUCGAGUCGGCAACUGCAUAAAUUGCAAGAAUUUGUUCGAUGGGGCUCAUACCGUUGAUGCUCUUGCAAGUUAUGCAGUUGCUGCCUCAAGCUUCCUGCCUCCCUUUGCCAGAGCUAUGUUUGCAGGGAUCAGGAUCAUCUUGCACAUUGAUAAAGCUGUUGCGUCAUUCUUGCUAAUUAAUGAUAUACCAUGGUGCUUUAUUUCUUAGAAGCCAAAUAUCAACUUCAAGCUGUUUAUGAACAAGCAUCCAGAGAUCAUUUGUUUCCACCAAUUUUUAAUCUGUCAAGUUGUUGAACAAGCAUUCCAUUACUACCAUCUUUCCAUCUUUUCCAAAUAUAGUUAGAUAGCACUUGUUGCCUCCUGGUCAAUAGUGCAGAUAAGUUCUAUAACUGUAAGCCUAUAUUGGAAGCAGAACAUAUUCUGGUCAAGGCAACAUUCAGUUAAGAACAGUCAAGGCCGCUGUGUUGUCUGGUUAGCGUAUUAAGAGUUGUGUCUACCAGCCCAGAAUGGAACCAGAAUAUAUGCUGAUUGGAGGGAUACUCAGUUAACAAUUUGAUCAUGGUUUGUGGUUCAGACUCAGCUUGGUCCAGUUAGCAUGCUAACAGUCUGUUUGUAGCAGAAAAUGCAUGUUGAUCAAUUCUCUAAGGAAUUGCACUCAAAAUUCUGGGCCUGGAUGUUACCAUCCAUGUUCCAGUCUGUUGCAGCGAUCA